GACGAACGCUGGCGGCGUGCUUAACACAUGCAAGUCGAACGGAAAGGCCCUUCUUUUGUUGGGUGCUCGAGUGGCGAACGGGUGAGUAACAUGUGAGUAACCUACCCUUCACUCUUGUAUAACUUAAGGACACUGGGGCUAAUAUCGGAUAGGAGCUCCUGCUGCUUGGUGGUGGUGGGAAAGUUUCGGCGGUUGGUGCUGGACUCGCGGCUUGUGAGCCCGUUGGUGGGGUAGUGGGUUACCUAGGCUUUGACGGGUAGCCGGCCUGAGAGGGUGACCGGCCACAUUGGGACUGAGAUACGGCCCAGACUCCUACGGGAGGCAGCAGUGGGGAAUAGUGCACAAUGGGGGGAAGCCGGAUGCAGCAACGCCGCGUGCGGGAUGAAGGCCUUCGGGUUGUAAACCGCUUUCGCCUGUGACGAAGCGUGAGUGACGGUAAUGGGUAAAGAAGCACCGGCUAACUACGUG
rnacentral:rRNA from 1 species